UACGAAGGGGGCUAGCGUUGUUCGGAAUCACUGGGCGUAAAGCGCACGUAGGCGGAUUUGCCAGUCAGGGGUGAAAUCCCGGGGCUCAACCUCGGAACUGCCCUUGAUACAGCAAAUCUCGAGUCCGGAAGAGGUGAGUGGAAUUCCUAGUGUAGAGGUGAAAUUCGUAGAUAUUAGGAAGAACACCAGUGGCGAAGGCGGCUCACUGGUCCGGCACUGACGCUGAGGUGCGAAAGCGUGGGGAGCAAACAGG
rnacentral:rRNA from 1 species